rnacentral:misc_RNA from 1 species
GAAAUGCGAUAAGUAGUGUGAAUUGCAGAAUUCAGUGAAUCAUCGAAUCUUUGAACGCACAUUGCGCCCCUUGGUAUUCCAUGGGGCAUGCCUGUUCGAGCGUCAUUUGUACCCUCAAGCUCUGCUUGGUGUUGGGUGUUUGUCCCGUCUCCGCGCGUGGACUCGCCCCAAAGUGAUUGGCAGCCGGCGUACUGGUCCCGGAGCGCAGCACAUGUCGCGCAAACGAGUGCCUUGGUACGGCGGCGUCCAUAAGCCCCUCUCUCACGCUCUUGACCUCGGAUCAGGUAGGGAUACCCGCUGAUCUUAAGC